GAAAACCACAGAUCAAAAAUAACACGCACACCCUUGAGAUCUUUCCUCUGCUUUCUUCAAGAUCUGAAACCCUAAAACCUUAUAUUCUCAAAACCUCUAAUCUACUGAGCAAUAUCCUUCAAAUACACACAGCCAAACACACUCGACCUCUCUCUCACCUCUCUCUCAAUACCGGUCGCCGGAAUCAGGUGGCGGUUCCAGCCACCCCCUUCUCUCGAUGACAUUCAACAACCACGGCCGGUGGUGUUUUCCAGCCACUCGACACCCCCCCUGUACCACUUUAUAUAUAACUCAAUCGGAGUGAGAGAGAUCAGUGGAGUGAUCAGCGACGAAGAGAGAUCCAGUCGAAGAGAGAGAGAGAGAGGAACUCAAGAGAACGGAAAUGGCAGGUCGGCGUCGGUGGCGUGAGGGUUUCGCGUCGGAAUCGAAGGGGAUGUUAGUUACGAGCAUCGGAAUCAAGUAUCAAGGAUGGUGAUUACAGAUAACGAUGUUGACGGUGAUGGCCGACGGCGGCGGAGGUCACCGGAGCUCCGUCCUUGAUUUGGUCGUAUAUCGGCUGAUGAGUGGGUUCCGGAGCUCCGAUUCAGGCAGACACGUGUUCGGGUCAGAUUUCAGUUUUGAGUCAGACCCGGUUAACAGCAGUCAGUGAUUCUGGUUUGGGUUCGCGACUCAGUUCGGUGUUCGGGUCAAUGGCCAAAGUCAACAAUGGUCAACUGUUUGGGUCAACUCGGUCAAACCGAGUCGACUCAGUCAAACUCAGGUCAACAGUCAGUUGACCUGGUCAACUCAGUGCAGAUUGGUCCGAUUAACAUCGGUUAUGUUUUGGGUUCACGUUCGGGUUCCGGUUCUGUUUCGAGAUGAUCGGUUCAAAAUAGUCACAGUGAGCGGUUUGGGUUAGACUUGGCAGUCAAGGUCCGAUCAACAGCAGUCAACGCCGGUCGACUCACGAGACCCGGUAAAGUGUUAAGUGUAGCAAGUUAUUCUUUGUUUAGAAGUUUAUAGAUUUUAGUUGUUUACGCGACCGAGCUCGACCCGAUUAGAUAACGUUUAUACAUUAUUGAUUAAUUACGCUUUUACAUUUGGCGAGUAAUUUUAUAUA